GAUGAACGCUGGCGGCGUGCCUAAUACAUGCAAGUCGAGCGAACAGACGAGGAGCUUGCUCCUCUGACGUUAGCGGCGGACGGGUGAGUAACACGUGGAUAACCUACCUAUAAGACUGGGAUAACUUCGGGAAACCGGAGCUAAUCCCGGAUAAUAUAUUGAACCGCAUGGUUCAAUAGUGAAAGACGGUUUUGCUGUCACUUAUAGAUGGAUCCGCGCCGCUUUAGCUAGUUGGUAAGGUAACGGCUUACCAAGGCAACGAUGCGUAGCCGACCUGAGAGGGGGAGCGGCCCAACUGGGACUGGGACACGGCCCAGACCCCCACGGGAGGCAGCAGUAGGGAAUCGUCCGCAAUGGGGGGAAGGCUGAACGGGCAACGCCGGGGGGGGGAAGAAGGUUUUCGGAUCGUAAAGCCUUGUUGUUAGGGAAGAAAGAGUGUUAGAGUGAAAAAUGCACAUCGUGACGGUACCUGACCAGAAAGCGACGGCUAACUACGUG
rnacentral:rRNA from 1 species